rnacentral:rRNA from 1 species
GGGGAAUCUUGCGCAAUGCGCGAAAGCGUGACGCAGCAACGCCGCGUGGAGGAAGACGGCCUUCGGGUUGUAAACUCCUUUCAGUUGGGACGAAGCUUCACUGGUGAAUAGCCAGUUGGAGUGACGGUACCUUCAGAAGAAGCCCCGGCUAACUACGUGCCAGCAGCCGCGGUAAUACGUAGGGGGCAAGCGUUGUCCGGAAUCAUUGGGCGUAAAGCGCGUGUAGGCGGCCUUGUAAGUCCGUUCUGAAAGCCCGGGGCUCAACCCCGGGAGGCGGAUGGAUACUGCAAGGCUCGAGUACGGAAGAGGCGAGUGGAAUUCCCGGUGUAGCGGUGAAAUGCGCAGAUAUCGGGAGGAACACCAGUGGCGAAGGCGGCUCACUGGACCGGAACUGACGCUGAGGCGCGAAAGCGUGGGGAGCAAAC